GGGGUUGUGAUGAAAUGGCAGCCAUGGGAGUCUUAAAAACUCCUGCGCGCAAGCGCGUGUGGGUUCGAAUCCCACCAGCCCCA
rnacentral:tRNA from 1 species